rnacentral:sRNA from 1 species
GCCGAGAGGAUGGAGAGCAUCUUGCAGGCACUGGAGGAUAUUCAGCUGGAUCUGGAGGCAGUGAACAUCAAGGCAGGCAAAGCCUUCCUGCGUCUCAAGCGCAAGUUCAUCCAGAUGCGAAGACCCUUCCUGGAGCGCAGAGACCUCAUCAUCCAGCAUAUCCCAGGCUUCUGGGUCAAAGCAUUCCUCAACCACCCCAGAAUUUCAAUUUUGAUCAACCGACGUGAUGAAGACAUUUUCCGCUACUUGACCAAUCUGCAGGUCAGGCCAGAGAGACAUUUUUUAGUAGGAUCGGGCACGAAUCUGGUUCUUGGAGGUGACGGGAGGUGGGUGGGAAGGGCCGUGGUGUGUGUGGGGGGGGACAGAUUCCACCAUCACCCCCACCUGGAGCAGGUACAGGAUCUCAGACAUAUCUCCAUGGGCUACAAAAUGAAGCUGUACUUCCAGACUAACCCCUACUUCACAAACAUGGUGAUUGUCAAGGAGUUCCAGCGCAACCGCUCAGGUAAGUGGCAGUACCAGAGUAAAUCCAUGUUCCCCCCUCAAUCUGUCCUUGUUUUGUCCCAUCUCCAUAGCCUUCUCUCUCCCUAGGCCGGCUGGUGUCUCACUCAACCCCAAUCCGCUGGCACCGGGGCCAGGAACCCCAGGCCCGUCGUCACGGGAACCAGGAUGCGAGCCACAGCUUCUUCAGCUGGUUCUCAAACCAUAGCCUCCCAGAGGCUGACAGGAUUGCUGAGGUGGGGCCCUUCCUGGCAUCAGCAGAGAAGGCCUUGCUAGGCUUGUUCCUGGGUGCGUGGGGAAUUAAGAGGAGGAUCUGGAGCUUGUACUAAUGGCUGUCUUAUUCCUUCUCCCCUUUUUCAACAGAUUAUCAAGAAUGAUCUGUGGGUUAACCCUCUACGCUACUACCUGAGAGAAAGGGGCUCCAGGAUAAAGAGAAAGAAGCAAGAAAUGAAGAAACGGUAAUGGGAGUUUGGUUGCUGAGAGGUGGUUUGUUGGGGAUGGGGAAAAGACUAGUGUAACACAGGAUUUAUGGAGCCAAAAAGGGACCUUUGAGAUAAUCCCAGUGGAAUAUGUUUUACAAGUGGGAAAUCAUGCCCAGAAAUGGCUUGAGGUUACACAGUGAGGGGCAGAAGUGGGACUUUACCCACCCUAGCCCCAUCCCUGGGAUCCCUUAUAGCCUACUGCUUCCCCAGUUACUUCCCACCUUUGAGUGCUAUGAGUACACCACCUCCCACCAACCCUAUACUCAGCCACAGCCUUCCCUACAGUAAAACCAGGGGCAGAUGUGAGGUGGUGAUCAUGGAAGACGCCCCUGACUAUUAUGCAGUGGAAGACAUUUUCAGCGAAAUCUCAGACAUUGAUGAGACAAUUCAUGACAUCAAGAUCUCUGACUUCAUGGAGACCACCGACUACUUCGAGACCACUGACAACGAGAUAACUGACAUCAAUGAGAACAUCUGCGACAGCGAGAAUCCUGACCACAAUGAGGUCCCCAACAACGAGACCACUGAUAACAACGAGAGUGCUGAUGACCACGAAACCACUGACAACAAUGAGAGUGCAGAUGACAACAACGAGAAUCCUGAAGACAAUAACAAGAACACUGAUGACAACGAAGAGAACCCUAACAACAACGAGAACACUUACGGCAACAACUUCUUCAAAGGUGGCUUCUGGGGCAGCCAUGGCAACAACCAGGACAGCAGCGACAGUGACAAUGAAGCAGAUGAGGCCAGUGAUGAUGAAGAUAAUGAUGGCAACGAAGGUGACAAUGAGGGCAGUGAUGAUGAUGGCAAUGAAGGUGACAAUGAAGGCAGCGAUGAUGACGACAGAGACAUUGAGUACUAUGAGAAAGUUAUUGAAGACUUUGACAAGGAUCAGGCUGACUACGAGGACGUGAUAGAGAUCAUCUCAGACGAAUCAGUGGAAGAAGAGGGCAUUGAGGAAGGUGAGCUAAUCCCUCCCCACCCUUGUCUUCCCUCUUUUCUUUUCUCAGAGCAAGCCUGGCCAAGGACAGUGUAUCAAGGCAUGAACACAAUCUGCUUUUAUGGAGGAAAGAAAAAGCAUUCUGAGCAACUUUUUAAACAAAGGAAGUCCAGUGAACAUUUAACUUAAAAAUGUAACAAAACCCCAAAAAAUCAUUUUAGUUCUAGGUGAUGGGUAGAUGGUUGUAACAGCAGAAGAUGAAGAGUACACAGAGAUAGGAGACAGUGGGUGGAAAACUAAAAAGGACACUUCACAUCGAGGUGGGGGAGUGGCAAAACACAAUGCAUUUCAGCACAGUCUGUACCCGGCCUUGGCCUUUGGCGCAUUCCCAGGCUUGUGUUGGGAGCAGAGCAUGAAGUGAACAGUGUGCUCUCUGAGCCCAGAAAAGGGUGCAGCCAGUUCUACCUCAAGAAUCGGGGUGGGGGGGGUGGUGGGGGAGAGCUAGAGGAAAAAGGUGACAUUUGAAUUGGAGGAUGCAUUCACACUGAGGAGCUUUAUGGAGCAUUCUCCGUGGAGUGGAUCAUCUGAACAAGGACCUGGAAGGGUGAAAAUGCAUCGUAGGUUGGGCAGGGUUUCCAAAAUUAUGUCCUGAGGAUCACUCACCAGAUCUGAAAGCUGCUUCCCACAAAAGGUUUCAGUGGUCGUAUAUGUUGGACAAGUACUGCAUAUAGUAAUACCCUCUUGUAGAGUCACAUUAGAACCUUAAAGGCUCUGAGAAUAACACCAGAAUUACAAAGGUGCUGAGAAGCACUCAGAUGGGAGGUGGAAGGGGCAGGAAAAUCAACUACUCUUCGGGUUUUUUUGGCUAUGGGGUCCCUGGCAAACUUCCAUUGAGGGCAAGGCCAGGGCACUAAGGGAAGAGGAAUGAAUGUGGAGCCUCAAUCUAGACAUGUUCAGGUAGGAGAGGGAAACAGGGAUUCUCAGUUCUCUUCCCCUCCCACCUGAUGGCAUCUCUUCUCUCAGAGAAGGGGAGGUAGAGCUAUCUGCCCAGCCCUGAGGGUGGGAGUGGGGGUGGGGAAUUGGGUUGCAGAACACAAACUAGGGCCUCUUUGGAUCAGACUGGGGGAGAAAGGAGCGAGGAAGCUGCCUGGAGAUGAAUAGGUUUAUUCAGCUGAGGUCAGAGCUCAGGAAGAGACACACAUUGAGGAGUACAAGGGGGAGAAAAAGCUACUAUCAGAGAUGUAUCAGUUUUGACAGAGGCAGGGAGCCCACACUGCCUUCCUGCCUCCCUCCAUCUCCCUCUCAUUCUGUGGGCUUGCUUGAGUACACCCACACACACUCUUGGCUGUUUGUUCCAAGCAGAGGCGCUGACAAGUUGUCCCAGGCCCCUAAAAGCCCUGGCUAUGGUCUCUGUUCCCUUUUAGAGUGACACCUAUCUGCUUAUCUAACUGCCUUCCUCCAUUUCCCCUUCCUUGCUUCUCCCUUAUGCAGGCAUCGAGCAAGAUGAGGACAUCUAUGAGGAAGGAAACUAUGAGGAGGAAGGAAGUGAAGAUGUCUGGGAAGAAGGGGAAGAUUCGGACGACUCUGACCUGGAGGAUGUGCUUCAGGUCCCAAACGGUUGGGCCAAUCCGGGGAAGAGGGGGAAAACCGGAUAAGGGUCUUCCCCUUUUGGGGAUCACCUCUCUGUAUCCCCCACCCCCUAUCCCAUUUGCCCUCCUCCUCAGCUAGGGCCACGCGGCCCCACAUUGCACUUCUGGGGGGUGACCGACUUCGUACACGGGUUUAAAGUUUAUUUUUAUGGUUUAGUCAUUGCAGAGUUCUAAUUUUGGGGGGAGGGAAAGGGGGCUAGUCCCCUUCUUUUGGCCCUCCGCCCCCGCAGGCUUCUGUGUGCUGCUAACUGUAUUUAUUGUGAUGCCUUGGUCAGGGCCCCUCUACCCACUUCUCCCAGUCAGUUGUGGCCCCAGCCCCUCUCCCUGUGCUGUGUGGAGUGGACACCCUGACCCCCGAAGCGGGGAGGGCCGCUGUGGCCUUCGUCACAGCCGCGCAGUGCCCAUGGAGGCGCUGCUGCCACCCUCCUCUCCCAAGUUCUUUCUCCAUCCCUCUCCUCUUCCCGCCGCGCCGCUAGCCCGCCUCGGUGUCUAUGCAAGGCCGCUUCGCCAUUGCGGUAUUCUUUGCGGUAUUCUUGUCCCCCUCCCCCAGAAGGCUCGCCUCUCCCCGUGGACCCUGUUAAUCCCAAUAAAAUUCUGAGCAAGUUC